UACGUAGGGGGCAAGCGUUGUCCGGAUUCAUUGGGCGUAAAGAGCGUGUAGGCGGCCAGGUAGGUCGGUUGUGAAAACUGGAGGCUCAACCUUCAGACGUCGACCCAAACCCCCUGGCUAGAGUCCGGAAGAGGAGAGUGGAAUUCCUGGUGUAGCGGCGAAAUGCGCAGAUAUCAGGAAGAACACCCGUGGCGAAGGCGGCUCUCUGGGACGGUACUGACGCUGAGACGCGAAAGCGUGGGGAGCAAACAGG
rnacentral:rRNA from 1 species